rnacentral:rRNA from 1 species
UACAUGGGGUGCAAACGUUGCUCGGAAUUAUUGGGCGUAAAGCGCACGUAGGCGGUUCGUUAAGUCAGAUGUGAAAGCCCUCGGCUCAACCGAGGAAGUGCAUCCGAAACUGGCGAGCUAGAGUACUAAAGAGGGUCGCGGAAUUCCCGGUGUAGAGGUGAAAUUCGUAGAUAUCGGGAGGAACACCGGUGGCGAAGGCGGCGACCUGGGUAGAUACUGACGCUGAGGUGCGAAAGCGUGGGGAGCAAACAGG